CAACCGCAUCAGACGCCAUGUUGGAAGACCAAAGUCAGUCUGUUGGAAGCCCUUCAACUGUUCACAUGGCUGGCUGGGUUGUGCUACCACUGGAAACAUUGACCAUUAUAGUAAUUCAUUUUUCUAAGGACCCAGAAAACGGAGGCAGUGGGAGAACCUAUUCUACUCAGGUACAGAGAGACUUAAAAAACCCCGUCUGCAGAUGAAGAGGUCCCAAUGACUGUCCGAGAGAAUGAGGGUACAUCCUUCUAUACCAUGGAUUAUAAGUGUACCUAUCACCCAAGGAGCCCGUCAUUGUAAACCACUUCUGUUCAUGUGCAGCUGGGAGAGCUUUGUGCAAUCUGGUGCCUCUACUCUUUCAAACUGCACAUUACACCACAAUGGGGUUGAAGACCGUGCCACCACCAUUGCCUUGCACAUGGGUACUGCAGUCAUGCCCACUGAUGAAAUGCUUGUGAGAAAGCCAAGGACAUCAGGCAGGAGUGGCAUAAAAACCACUCUUUACCAAGGAAUCCCUGGGACCCUUCCUGACAUGACAGUGCUGUCUGCUGGACCAAGUUUGAGGAGCAUGAGACCACAGCCUGUCAUUGCCAAGGUGUUGCAUGGAUUGGAAGAAAUUACUCUCAAUUUGGUCCAGUGCUGUCAUAUUAGUGUCCCCUUACUGUCACCAGAGAUUCUAAUGCAUUCAGAUGCUCCUGCUUUCCCCCAACUCCCAGUAAAAUAAACAGUCAUUUAAACUUUGUCCCUACUUGCACUCAGUUUUACCACAUGGAGAGCUUAAAGGAGCCACCAUCAUUGUCAUCUACUAUUGAGAAUGGCACAGUCGAGCAGUCUGCCCAUCCACUAUGGAAGAAAUUAGGAAACCACGUGUGACUGCUACCCGGUUUAGUGAGGCAUGCCACUUGCGUGGGGUGUCAUCUCGCCAUGCCCUAGCCAUGAGAAUGCUUAAAAGUGAGCGGCAAACCGAAGCUAUGAGAAAGGGGUUUGAGCCAGAGGUUCUAUAGAACUACUCUGAAUUGUUUAAUGUCUCGGUCAAACCUUGUGAUUUCAUUGUGAACCCAGAUGCACCCUAUCUUGGGGCAUACCCUGACGGGAAAGUUUAUGACCCUUCUGCAGCGCCACCCUUCAGGCUAGCCGAGAUCAAGUGCCCUGAUGUUGAGUGUAACUGAUGCGAAGCACAUUAAGUUUGUCAAUGGCCCGGCCAAGCUCAAUCACAGCCACAAAUAUCACUGGCAAGUCCAGGGCCAACUGGCUGUAACCGGUUUAGAUUGAUGCGACUUUGUUACAAGCACUAGAAGUGAUAUUACAGUAGAGAGAGUUGAGAGAUGAUGCUUUGAUAGCAGAGAUGAGAGAAACUUGACUACUUCUACACCUACAUGGAUGUGUACUUUAAGAUGUAGUGUAGCAGGUGAGCCAAUCCCACUUGGCAGGCCACUGUAACAUUGUUGCCCAAGGCAAUGUACAUGUAAUGUAUUUAACUAAUCAAAAUUGUAUGUAGAGUAAAUUAUUUGAAUGAAUGAAUUGUGUGAUCUUGUUUGUCUAUCACAUGUGGCUCAGUUGGUUGAACAUGACAUUUGCAAUGCUAGGGUUGUGGGUUUGAUUCCCACAGGGGGACCAGUACGUCGUGAAAGAAUGAAAAUGUAUGCACUCACUACUGGAAGUCACUGGAUAAGAGCAUCUGCUAAAUGACUAAAAUGUAAAUGUAAGCAAUUAUUCAACUAAUUGAAUUGUUUGAUAUUUGUUAUUUUAUGACCGGCUUAAUAUAACAGGUCACUGAAUGAAUAAUCAAAUGUAUUUAUUGAAUAAAAUCUUUAAAUUAAAAAAGGAUGUUCUCUAAUAGAUUAAUGAAUUAUGCAAACACUAAACCCCAAAACACCCAUCUUAUUCAUAAAAACGACAUAUUCAAUAUACAAAUUUUCCCAAAUUCAUGUCUUGUCUAAUAGAUCAAUUUAUAAUAAUCACAAAAAAACACAUGUACAUGUACAAGCUGUUAUUUAUAAUAACCAAAUUAAUUGAACUUAAAUCAAUCAUUGAUUUGUAUUGUGUGUUUGCACUGCCUUGCUUGAGCAUAUUUUCACACUUGCUUAUCACCCUUGAGAUCCAGAGGGCCCUGGUAGUUCAUUAAGCAGCAGUUCAUCCACAGUUGACAGAGCCUGCCAGAAUGAGUGGGAUAAUCAUGUCCCAGAUAUGGUACUUCUUCACCCUCCUAAUGACUCUCCACUAGCACUCUCAGAUGCGAAAUAGCUUGCGUUCACUCAGUGUCCUUCCAUGUUAGCAGUUUCUCUUUUGAUUGGGGGAAUGAUGAGUGUUGCCCCCACAUCUGACUGCAUCCUAUCUAUGAUGUACCCCUUGUCUGCUAUGCAUCCAUCACCAGGCUCAAACAGCUUGGGGAUUCCAGAGAGACACGUGAUCUCCUGAUCAGAGAUGGAUCCAGUGAUAAGCUUGGUGCAAUCCAAAUCAGGCCCUUAAUAAAGGUGGUGUGGUUUUUGUAAGAUGAAAAAGUCUCUGACUGUAAUGUCAGAGAGGAGAGGUUGGCACAUCUCAGCUCUGUGCAGUCCAUGAUAACUCUGACCUCUGGACAGAACACCUUGUACUUGUCAGGCAUGGUAUCCUGCACCUGCUUCCUGGACAGCCAAAUGGGCACAGAGCCCAAGACAAUAUAUAGAUCCAGGUUAUUUUAACGCAGCUCACUGUAGGGACACUCACACCAAAGAUGUCCGCCAAAACCUCCUUCAACCCAGCUGCUACUCGACGGCAGUAAAGCACUGUAGGGACACUCACACUAAAGAUGUCCGCCAACACCUCCUUCAGCCCAGCUGCUACUCGACAGCAGUAAAGAAAAAAACUUGCCAAUGAGUGGCAGCUUUCUGUUGGGGCUUGGUGAUGCGCUUCCCAUUCCAGCCUUCUCGGCCUAGAUUAACCUGGAGGCAGAGGGGGCAAUGGACUCCCAGAACACCAUGAAGACCUCUGAGUGGAACCGGGUAUAGAACCUGAAGUCCUCAUUGGGUGCACAGAAUCUUUGGAGCUGGAGAUGGUGAACAGAGAGCUGUUGGACUUGGGGCUUUAGCUCCUUGAUUCAAUCCAGUGCAGCAUCCAACAUACCUAUAGAAAAGAAAGGGGUAAUUUAUGUGGCAAAAUUGUGCUAUUAUUCAGUUUGAUUCUCAGUAUCAUGACACAGUAAACCAUCUCUUACUUAGUUUAGGUCUCAGGACAUAUGUAAUCAAUCAAGUAUGUUAUGGUAGUGCUAAGAAAUGUUGGUUCAAGGAACUAAUGGGAGGGUGGCUUAAGUUGGAGAGCAGAGUGGGAAAACAGAGAGCAUGCAAGCUGGCUAGCGAGUUAAUAGUUUUGUUAUUGUUAUUUCAAAAGCUGAUUAUAAGUAAUGCAAUACCUGAACUAUAGCAACGGUUUGCAAAACUAUAACUUGCAGGAUAAUUUCUACAAUCCACUUUGAGAGAGGCUUUCCCUGUAUCUACAAAGCACACAAACAGCUGAUCAGAGUGACGGAUCACCUGAUUCCGCUCCAUGUACUUGUUUAGGGAUCUCACAGGACACAGAGUGCGUACAUCAACAUGAGCCCCAGGGGGCAUGGAGGUGGAUAAGGCUGUUAGCACCAUUUCCCUGUUCACAUGACCUGGGGGCAGGACCUUUGGUAGGAAGGCGGGAUUAGGCCGCAGGGUAACGCUCGCCUUACCCGGCCCUAGCCGAUAACACUCAUUAUUAAUAGGCAAAGCAUGGAGCUUGCCAACCCUCUUGGUAGAGGCGAUGGCCACCAGAAAUGCUGUCUUAAGAGAGAGAUGUUUCAAGUCUUUUGGUUGGAAGGGAGGUCUGGAUAGUACUCCAAGAACCAGAUUCAAAUCACAUUUGGGAACUGAGGGGGCUCUUGAGGGGGCGUAAUCGACGGGACUACCUUAAGAAACCUGGCCAUGAGCGGGUGGCUGCCAAGCGGCCCAUCCUACUCUUCAUCAUGACAUGCUGAUAUGGCUGCUACAUAUACCUUAAGUGUGGAUAAAGCCCUGCCAGCAUCAAACAAAGACCUCAAGAGCUGGAACAAAGAUCCUAUGCCGCAAGAUUCUGCUUCAACCCCCUGCUCCGCACACCACUGGCAGGACCCGUCACCUCGUGUCAUAGGUUGACGUGGUGGAGGGGGCCCUGUCACUCUGUAAGAUGUUAACAACAGAGGGCUCAAGAUCUAAAUUAGACAAUUUUCGUUCCCUCCGCCCUCCACAAUGUGCCCUCCGCCUGUGACAAUAGGCCCGGCCUCCGAGGUAGUUCCAAUGCUGUCCCCACUAGGAGUGACAGUAUUGUGCUGAACCAGUGGCAUCUCGGGGCAAUCAGAAGGACCAUGUGGCUCGCUUCCCUGAUUCUGUCCAAAAUUGCUGGAAUCAGCGGGAUCCGGGGGAAGGCGUGUAGCCUCUUUCUCAGCCACUCGUUGGCAAAGGCAUCUAGACUGAGUGGUCCGGGGGGGUUGGAUAUCAAGAACCAGAGGGGGCACUGUGGGUUCCUCUCUGAGCCAAACAAAUCCACCUCCGCUUCCCCAAAGAAUCCCCACAUGCAACUCACUAUUCUGGGAUGUAGGCGCCACUCUCCUUCCGGAGGGCCUUCCUUGGACAGCAUGUCUGCCUUAAUGUGUUCAGAAUCCCUGGGAGGUGUACAACUCUUAGUGAGGCCAGAUUCUGUAGACACAGCAGAAGGGUAUAUGCCAUCUGGUGGCAGUGGAUGGAACCCAGAACCCCUUGGUGGAUUAUGUACUCUACCACUGUGGUGCUGUCUGUACCAGCACAUGUUUGUCCCACAGUUGUGGGAGAAAGUUGAACAGAGUUAGUUGAACUGCUCUCAACUCCAGCAUGUUGAUGUGGAGUUUGGACCAGCUGGGGCUCCAUGUCCCACUGGCCGCCCUCCCCCACAAUAUUGCUCCCCAGCCUGUCAAGGAGGCGUCUGUUUGAACCAGUUCCCUCGAUGGACUCUGCCCAGGCGUAUCCCACCUGAAAGAAAAUCCAGGGAUCACCAUCUUGCCAAUGCUUGAGUACAGUCCUUUUACACAGACAGGUGACAAUACCUGUGUUCCAUGGAUAUCAGAAUAUAUUUGGGAAAAUCCAUUCACAAUCCCCAAAAAUGUAUGGAUGUAAGGAGCCAAACUCAACUGACACAUUGAGUAUGUUUACAUGCACACAAAUAAUUUGAUAUUAAACUGAUUAUGGCAAUAGGCAGAUUAUGCAAUAGUCAUGUCAACACUUUACUCUGCUGAUCUUAAUCAAGAUUAAAACAGCUGGUUUUCUGAGCAAUCUUCAGAAUUAUUAGAACACCUUAAUCUGCGUUCCAGCGGUGCAUUUGAUCUGCACAUGUGCUAGCACCAGCCGAGCAAGCCUCCCUCUUUAGCACAAGUAUUUUAACUAGACUAGAGUAUAGUAUAUAAUGUUAAAGGCAUACAUGUUGCCAUAUACAGUACAUUGAUAAAUGUUUUGGAGCCUUUUUGUAGAAGGCUCAACCCUUUUUUUUGUGAGUAUCCUGCUUCCAUACUAGUCCAUCCGUGCCAUCAAUGAAGUAAAGUAUGAGAUGUCAGCCGAGGACUUUACCAACAUGGUGUUUGACAAGAUCAACAUCAAUGGAGUUG
rnacentral:lncRNA from 13 species